UAUAUAUCUACUUUAGAAUAUGGAUGUAUUAUUAAUACUUUGGUCGUAGAAUUAAGUUGCGCUUUGUUUGCGCACAUUUUCUCUGAAUGGCUUUCCUAUUCAUUAACAUUCAUGGGGAAGUCAUGGCUCAUGAUUAUGAAUAAUAUAACGUAACGUAUCGCAAUUAGGCCUAUGUGACUGGUCUAAAAGCAAACGCGCUAGCAAAGGCAUGGUUAUAAAUAUUAACUAAGUUAAGUAAAUAGACAGUCUGGGAAUGGUCACAAGAAACGUCAGCGCAAUGACCUAAUUAAUAUUCAUAAGCUGGGCCUUUACCAUAGUAGUGUAAUUUCGCAUUCCGCUGAUGACGCGCGUCACGCACUCAGCUGAUUCGGCGAGUAGGAGUCGGUAGCUUUUCUCCGCUCCUCCCCUCCUCUCCCACACAAGAAUCGGUCUUGUGCCACUCGCGUCUGCAAUCAUGGAGACGAACGGAACAGACCUGCUGCCGGUACAGUCGGGCUUGGACGCGCUUAUAGUGAACGGGCUCACGGCGGAACGAGAAGAAACGGACCCGCCAAGAAGAAAAGAAAGCCAGCAGUUUCCACAGAACAGGUCGAGCAGGGGGAGGAUGGAGAGGUGGAGGUGAGGAAACAGACAGAACAGCAGAACCUGGAGAAGGACAGUGAAGACGAUGGAGAAGAAUGCAUCAGCUGUCUCACUCAUACAGGCUAUGUUGGGAAUAGCUAACUACCAUACUACACAUACUAUUUCUGUAGUAUGUAUACUGUGCAUAGUAUGCAAACAUUCUGUAUGCAUAGAAUACCUGGAUGACCUACUGCAUUUGGGUGAAUUUGUUGAAAAGAUCACAUUUCACCCCGAAAUCAAAAGAAAAAAAUAAUAUUUUGCAUGAAUAAAAUGAAGCCCAUUAAUAUAAAGUGCCUGGACGUUUUACUUGACAGCCCCUUGACAAAGUUUUUAUUUUUUUAAUUAAACUCAUCAUAAAGGCAUUACAACUAAUACUACCAUAAUGUAUAAAUACUUAAUUAAAAAAUUAAAUAUUAUAUUAUUGUUUUUUCCCCAUUUUAGAAUUUGAUUUCUUUGCAUGAAAGUAAUGAUAAUUUAGGGUGAAAAUAUGAUUAAUUGACAUGGAAAUAAAGUCACAAUGUCAAUAAUUACAAUGUUCCUCAAAUUAGUCACUGUGAGGAGGAAAUGGGUGUGGCCGGGCCGUGAGGGUGCACGGCCGGCGCUGAGUCAAUUAAUCAGCGGGAGAGAGAGAUAAAGGGGAGCCGGAGACACCAGUUUGAGAGAGAGAGAGAGAGCGUGCGUGUGUGCAUGUGUUUGUUUUAUGUUGUUUUAAGUUCAGUUAUAUCAUUAAAGUUAUGCUGACUGUCCUGCCGGUUCCCGCCUCCUCCUUGCCCAUCCUGAACCCAUUACAGUCACAUUUCAAAUUAAUAACAUUUCCUGAUGCAAAAUAUAAGCUCUUGAUUUUGGAGCUAAAUAUAACCUGGAUAUGUUCUUGAAAGGUUUUGUGAUUCACCCAUUUGGCAAAAUGUGCAUUAUGUAAUGUGCAAAAUACAGGUCACUGCGUGAGGUAAGGGGCUGUUCACAACAAACACGUUAUUUUGUCCUGCUGUGCUGUUUUUAAAUUUUUUCUAUGCAAGCAUACACUAGACAGCUCAUUUUUUGACCAUUGCGCUGUCUUGCUGUUAUUUCGGGGUUUUUUUUUCACUAUUAUAGAUGCCGUGACAAGUUCAAAUUAAAAACUCUUAAAACGUAGAAAAAUAUGUCUUGAGACACCUGCGCUCUGUUACAUUCAUUGCGCUGUGUCUAGCUUUUGUAGUGUGAUGAAUGAACAGGAAAUAAUGUCAUCUGUUAUUUUGUUUUACUACUUCUUCACUCUACUACUUCACUUUCAGUAUUUGAUCAGACUGCCAAAACUUUUUUAUUAUUAUUAAAAAAUUAAUUAUAAAAAACAUAGCAAAUUAAUGUAUUUAUUUCCAAGAUUGUAACUGGAUGUCACUUGUUGCAUUAAACAUGCACAUAAUGUCAUGUGACAACAAUGUAGCAUACUACUGGUUGAAACAUUUAUCGUUGCAUACUGAGUACUGUUUAAUAUACUUAAAAAAAAAAAAAAUUUAAAAACGUAGGCACAAUGUAUACUGCGCAGUAAGCAGUACAAUAGUAUUUUAUAAAGCGCAAUAUCUGGACCCGGAAGUAAAAAUCCAUAAAAUUUUUUCCAUAAUGGGAAUUGAUUAUUAAUGCUAGCUUAUAAACCAGAACAACUGUGAGCGCCGAGGUUGUUAAUUGAUGGUAUAUACUCCUGUUGAAUUCAUCAGUCUGCGUUAUUUCAACUUAAUUUUUUAGAAAUCAUGUUUAAUAGCAGAAUUCUUGGUGAAGAGCUACACUACCCAUAAUCCUGAGGGGAAAAAUCCACCAAUCAGAGAAUCGUGGCAAACAAAGUGCGCCAAAAGAGCUCUGCAGCAACGUUUUUUUUUUUUGUUUUUUUUUUUGCUUCAGAUCAAAGUUUGUAAUGUUUGAAUUCUCUCUGAGCUGAUUGAUCUGGUUAUGGCUUACAGAUCUUUAACUGAAGGAUUUUAUGAAAUCCUUACGGAAAAAAAUGAAUGGGAAAAAUACUUCAGAAAUCAAGACAGCUGAAAAAGUGGGCGGGUACUGUUGCUCUCUAUUCCCAACACAGCCACACUCUGUUACAGUCACUUUCUUGACAAGUAACUUACUGUGUGAACUCUGUUCCUAUCAUAGAUGGGGAUGAAGUCGAUAAUGCCUCUGGGGAAAAAAGAAGAAAAAGAAGGCCAAGAAGAAGAAAGGACAUAUGUUAUCUUUUCUCUUUUCCUUGUACAUUAUGUUCUCUGCACAACCAGACUCACAUCAGUGCUUAUUGGUUCCCAAAGUGCCCUUGCUCUUUGCUGAUAGGAUGAUAUGUUAGAAAAUGACCACUGAAGAGAAAUGAGCAGUAUUUUCAAUCAUCUGUUAGAGUGGGGCCGCAUCAGUACAGCACCUUUGAGCAUCUUUGUGGCUCUGAGAUUAAAGGCCCAAACAUACUCAGCGCAUGUAUGUGAACGCAGAUGCAUCUUGCUACGCAAGCUCGAUUUCACACGUCGUUACGUUGUGAAAUGUGUCAGAGAGCAAUUCAUAACCUAAUGCAAGGAAGCGCCGCAUUCUCAGCAUUGCCGCAAGGGGCGCUACAGUAGACUUUCUUUUCUCAAUCAACAACUGUCAUGGCGGAGCAGCAAUUUGAGGAGAGUCUUGCCGAACAAUUUAGAUUAUACAAACAUAUUUUUCUGGCGUCUUAUUAGCAAAUACAAAAGCACACUCCUCAACUGUCUACAUGUUGACUCUACCACAUCCGGUUUUGCGUACUUGCGUGAAGUAUGUUUGGGCCCUAACAGUACGUGGCCUGCCAUUUAAUAUGCUUCAGUGAAAUGCACAUAAUUGUGCUGGUGUUGAUGAGGGCUGGGAGCACAGUUGGCUGCCAAUGCAGUGCACUGGAGCUCUGCCAGAUCUCUGUGCCUCAGGGAAAAUCCUGCAGUGCAGACUACCAUUUCUCGGUAAAGGAUUUUGAACAGGUCCCAAGUGUCACUGAAUGAUUUGUCAUUAUCUAGUAGAUAUUUAUCAGUGUCAUAACAUAAAAAGAUCAAGGCAUAAACAUGAAAGACAUGUUAUUUUUUUUUUCACAAAUUUUAUAAUACUAUUAAAGCUGAAUUUUUUUGUUGUUGUUCAAAUACUUCUUUCCCAACUUAAAGAAUUAGUUCACUCAACCGUGAGAACUCAUUAUUUACUCACCCUCUUGCUGUUCCACACCUGUAUGAUUUUUUUCUUCCGUAGAACACAAAAAGGAUUUUGCAAAAUGUCCGAGCUGCUCUUUUCCACACAAUGAAAGCAUAUAGUGACUGUCAAAAAGGGCUGCGUGAUAUAGCUAAAAAAACAGCAGUACUUCUCAGUAUAUUUAGACUUUUUUUAUGACAUUUAUCUCGAUAUUUAUUUAUUUGCUUUGAAAUUGCUUAAAGCUGUGAAACCAGAGCAACCAUUAUUUCGAUCUAAUGUUUUUUAAAUGAUGACACAAAUGAAUUGUUGAAUCAGUGUUUUGUAACCGUUCACCAAAACUGACUGUUUGAAAGAACAGAUGCCUGAAAGUAGUCUAGUGGGAUGUUCUAUAAUGGGAUGCCAUAAUGGGUAAAUAAAACGUGUUAAAAAUCAUUGCAGUAUUACCAAAACAUUUCUGUGUAAACUACAAAAUAAUAUUGCAUAAUGCAUACAUUGUAAAUAUUCAAUAUUCUCUAUAAAGAAUAUAAAAAAUAAAAAAUAAAAACAUUUUAUCUGGAUAUUCAGCAUUUUGACAUUUUUGAUACCUCAAUAUUUAUGUAUUUGCUUUGAUAUUGCUUAAAAGGGUGUAACCAGGGGAACCAUUUUUUUUUUAUUGAAUGUUUUUGAGUGAUGACGCAAAUUAAUUGUUGAAUCAGUGUUUUGAACCGAUUCACCAAAACACAGUUCAUAAGAACAGAGGCUUGAAAGUAGUCUACAGGGAUGUUCUAAAUAAGAGGAUAAGUACAUCAGAGCCUCUAGUUUGAGAAACAGAUGCCUUACAUGUCCUCAGCUGACAGCUUCAUUGAAUUCUACCCGCUCAACACCAGUUUCAUGUACAACAGUAAAGAGAAGACUCAGGGGUGCAGGUCUUAUGGGGAGAAUUGCAAAGAAAAAGCCACUUUUGAAACAGAAAAACUAAAAAAAAAAAGGUUAGAGUGGGCAAAGAAACAGACAUUGGACAACAGAUAAUUGGAAAAGAGUGUUAUGGAUCUUAAACACAUUGAGCAUUUGUGGGAUCAGCUAGACUGUAAGGUGUGUGAGAAGUGCCCAACAAGACAGCCACGUGAUACAGGAAGCAUGGGGUGAAAUGUCACCUGAGUAUCUGGACAAACUGACAGCUAGAAUACCAAGUAUCUGCAAAGCUGUCAUUGCUGCAUGUGGAGGAUUUUUUGAUGAGAACACUUUGAAAUUGUUUAAGAAGUUCUGAAAAAACUUUUCAAAUUGUAAUAGUAAUUUUUCACGUUAUUAAUGUCCUGACUAUACACUGUGAUCAGUUGAAUGCCACUUUGAUGAA